UACGAAGGGUGCAAGCGUUACUCGGAAUUACUGGGCGUAAAGCGUGCGUAGGUGGUUUGUUAAGUCUGUUGUGAAAUCCCCGGGCUCAACCUGGGAAUGGCAAUGGAUACUGGAUAGCUAGAGUGUGAUAGAGGAUGGUGGAAUUCCCGGUGUAGCGGUGAAAUGCGUAGAGAUCGGGAGGAACAUCAGUGGCGAAGGCGGCCAUCUGGAUCAACACUGACGCUGGGGCACUAAAGCGUGGGGAGCAAACAGG
rnacentral:rRNA from 1 species